AUUGAACGCUGGCGGAAUGCUUUACACAUGCAAGUCGAACGGCAGCACGGACUUCGGUCUGGUGGCGAGUGGCGAACGGGUGAGUAAUGUAUCGGAACGUGCCCAGUCGUGGGGGAUAACGUAGUGAAAAUUACGCUAAUACCGCAUACGAUCUAUGGAUGAAAGCGGGGGAUCGCAAGACCUUGCGCGAUUCGAGCGGCCGAUGACAGAUUAGGUAGUUGGUGGGGGAAAGGCCCACCAAGCCAACGAUCUGUAGCUGGUCUGAGAGGACGACCAGCCACACUGGAACGGAGACACGGUCCAGACUCCUACGGGAGGCAGCAGUGGGGAAUUUUGGACAAUGGGCGAAAGCCUGAUCCAGCCAUUCCGCGUGCAGGAUGAAGGCCCUCGGGUUGUAAACUGCUUUUGUACAGAACGAAAAGGUUUCUACUAAUACUAGGAGCUCAUGACGGUACUGUAAGAAUAAGCACCGGCUAACUACGUGCCAGCCGCCGCAGUAA
rnacentral:rRNA from 1 species